UACGUAGGGUGCGAGCGUUAAUCGGAAUUACUGGGCGUAAAGCGUGCGCAGGCGGUUCGUUGUGUCGGCGGUGAAAGCCCCGGGCUUAACCUGGGAAUGGCCGUUGAAACUGGCGAACUGGAGUGUGGCAGAGGGGGGUGGAAUUCCGCGUGUAGCAGUGAAAUGCGUAGAUAUGCGGAGGAACACCGAUGGCGAAGGCAAUCCCCUGGGCCUGUACUGACGCUCAUGCACGAAAGCGUGGGGAGCAAACAGG
rnacentral:rRNA from 1 species